UACGUAGGCAGCGAGCGUUGUUCGGAGUUACUGGGCGUAAAGGGUGUGUAGGCGGUUGUUUAAGUUUGGUGUGAAAUCUCCCGGCUCAACUGGGAGGGUGCGCCGAAUACUGAAUGACUAGAGUGCGGGAGAGGAAAGUGGAAUUCCUGGUGUAGCGGUGAAAUGCGUAGAUAUCAGGAGGAACACCGGUGGUGUAAACGGCUUUCUGGACCGUAACUGACGCUGAGACACGAAAGCGUGGGUAGCAAACAGG
rnacentral:rRNA from 1 species